rnacentral:rRNA from 1 species
AAUCCAUAGGUUAAUGAGGCGAACCGGGGGAACUGAAACAUCUAAGUACCCCGAGGAAAAGAAAUCAACCGAGAUUCCCCCAGUAGCGGCGAGCGAACGGGGAGGAGCCCAGAGCCUGAAUCAGCAUGUGUGUUAGUGGAAGCGUCUGGAAAGGCGCGCGAUACAGGGUGACAGCCCCGUACACAAAAGCGCAUGUGCUGUGAGCUCGAUGAGUAGGGCGGGACACGUGGUAUCCUGUCUGAAUAUGGGGGGACCAUCCUCCAAGGCUAAAUACUCCUGACUGACCGAUAGUGAACCAGUACCGUGAGGGAAAGGCGAAAAGAACCCCGGCGAGGGGAGUGAAAAAGAACCUGAAACCGUGUACGUACAAGCAGUGGGAGCACCCUUCGGGGUGUGACUGCGUACCUUUUGUAUAAUGGGUCAGCGACUUAUAUUCUGUAGCAAGGUUAACCGUAUAGGGGAGCCGGAGGGAAACCGAGUCUUAACCGGGCGUUAAGUUGCAGGGUAUAGACCCGAAACCCGGUGAUCUAGCCAUGGGCAGGUUGAAGGUUGGGUAACACUAACUGGAGGACCGAACCGACUAAUGUUGAAAAAUUAGCGGAUGACCUGUGGCUGGGGGUGAAAGGCCAAUCAAACCGGGAGAUAGCUGGUUCUCCCCGAAAGCUAUUUAGGUAGCGCCUCGUGAAUUCAUCUCCGGGGGUAGAGCACUGUUUCGGCUAGGGGGCCAUCCCGGCUUACCAACCCGAUGCAAACUGCGAAUACCGGAGAAUGUUAUCACGGGAGACACACGGCGGGUGCUAACGUCCGUCGUGAAGAGGGAAACAACCCAGACCGCCAGCUAAGGUCCCAAAGUCAUGGUUAAGUGGGAAACGAUGUGGGAAGGCCCAGACAGCCAGGAUGUUGGCUUAGAAGCAGCCAUCAUUUAAAGAAAGCGUAAUAGCUCACUGGUCGAGUCGGCCUGCGCGGAAGAUGUAACGGGGCUAAACCAUGCACCGAAGCUGCGGCAGCGAACGUAUCACCCAAGACAACUUUACGGAGUUGACGAUUGACGGAGCGAAGCGACGUCAAAGCGUUCAUUAAAGUCGAGUUGGCUUAGGGAUACGUUCGUUGGGUAGGGGAGCGUUCUGUAAGCCUGUGAAGGUGUGUCGUGAGGCAUGCUGGAGGUAUCAGAAGUGCGAAUGCUGACAUAAGUAACGAUAAAGCGGGUGAAAAGCCCGCUCGCCGGAAGACCAAGGGUUCCUGUCCAACGUUAAUCGGGGCAGGGUGAGUCGACCCCUAAGGCGAGGCCGAAAGGCGUAGUCGAUGGGAAACGGGUUAAUAUUCCCGUACUUGGUGUUACUGCGAAGGGGGGACGGAGAAGGCUAUGUUGGCCGGGCGACGGUUGUCCCGGUUUAAGCGUGUAGGUGUGUGUUCCAGGUAAAUCCGGUUCACUUUAACACUGAGGCGUGACGACGAGGCACUACGGUGCUGAAGCAACAAAUGCCCUGCUUCCAGGAAAAGCCUCUAAGCAUCAGGUAACACGAAAUCGUACCCCAAACCGACACAGGUGGUCAGGUAGAGAAUACCAAGGCGCUUGAGAGAACUCGGGUGAAGGAACUAGGCAAAAUGGUGCCGUAACUUCGGGAGAAGGCACGCUGACACGUAGGUGAAGUGAUUUACUCAUGGAGCUGAAGUCAGUCGAAGAUACCAGCUGGCUGCAACUGUUUAUUAAAAACACAGCACUGUGCAAACACGAAAGUGGACGUAUACGGUGUGACGCCUGCCCGGUGCCGGAAGGUUAAUUGAUGGGGUCAGCGCAAGCGAAGCUCCUGAUCGAAGCCCCGGUAAACGGCGGCCGUAACUAUAACGGUCCUAAGGUAGCGAAAUUCCUUGUCGGGUAAGUUCCGACCUGCACGAAUGGCGUAAUGAUGGCCAGGCUGUCUCCACCCGAGACUCAGUGAAAUUGAACUCGCUGUGAAGAUGCAGUGUACCCGCGGCAAGACGGAAAGACCCCGUGAACCUUUACUAUAGCUUGACACUGAACAUUGAGCCUUGAUGUGUAGGAUAGGUGGGAGGCUUUGAAGUGUGGACGCCAGUCUGCAUGGAGCCGACCUUGAAAUACCACCCUUUAAUGUUUGAUGUUCUAACGUGGACCCGUAAUCCGGGUUGCGGACAGUGUCUGGUGGGUAGUUUGACUGGGGCGGUCUCCUCCUAAAGAGUAACGGAGGAGCACGAAGGUUGGCUAAUCCUGGUCGGACAUCAGGAGGUUAGUGCAAUGGCAUAAGCCAGCUUGACUGCGAGCGUGACGGCGCGAGCAGGUGCGAAAGCAGGUCAUAGUGAUCCGGUGGUUCUGAAUGGAAGGGCCAUCGCUCAACGGAUAAAAGGUACUCCGGGGAUAACAGGCUGAUACCGCCCAAGAGUUCAUAUCGACGGCGGUGUUUGGCACCUCGAUGUCGGCUCAUCACAUCCUGGGGCUGAAGUAGGUCCCAAGGGUAUGGCUGUUCGCCAUUUAAAGUGGUACGCGAGCUGGGUUUAGAACGUCGUGAGACAGUUCGGUCCCUAUCUGCCGUGGGCGCUGGAGAACUGAGGGGGGCUGCUCCUAGUACGAGAGGACCGGAGUGGACGCAUCACUGGUGUUCGGGUUGUCAUGCCAAUGGCACUGCCCGGUAGCUAAAUGCGGAAGAGAUAAGUGCUGAAAGCAUCUAAGCACGAAACUUGCCCCGAGAUGAGUUCUCCCUGAGACUUAGAGUCUCCUGAAGGAACGUUGAAGACGACGACGUUGAUAGGCCGGGUGUGUAAGCGCAGCGAUGCGUUGAGCUAACCGGUACUAAUGAACCGUGAGGCUUAACCUUACA